rfam:Salmo salar isolate Sally breed double haploid chromosome ssa07, whole genome shotgun sequence.
CCUGGUUAAGUUGGUAGAGCAUGGUGUUUGCAACGCCAGGGUUGUGGGUUCGAUUCCCACGG